rnacentral:rRNA from 1 species
GACGAACGCUGGCGGCGUGCUUAACACAUGCAAGUCGAACGGUGAAGCUCCAGCUUGCUGGAGUGGAUCAGUGGCGAACGGGUGAGUAACACGUGAGCAACCUGCCCCUGACUCUGGAAUAAGCGCUGGAAACGGCGUCUAAUACUGGAUACGAGAAGGGUCCGCAUGGGCACUUUCUGGAAAGUUUUUCGGUGGGGGAUGGGCUCGCGGCCUAUCAGGUUGUUGGUGAGGUAAUGGCUCACCAAGGCGACGUCGGGUAGGCGGCCUGAGAGGGCGACCGGCCACACUGGGACUGAGACACGGCCCAGAUGCCUACGGGGGGAAGCAGUGGGGAAUAUUGCACAAUGGGCGAAAGCCUGAUGCAGCGACGCCGCGUGAGGGAUGACGGCCUUCGGGUUGUAAACCUCUUUCAGCAGGGAAGAAGCGAAAGUGACGGUACCUGCAGUAGAAGCACCGGCUAACUACGUGCCAGCAGCCGCCGUAA